rnacentral:rRNA from 1 species
CCCUAUGGGGUGCAUCGUCCGGGAAGGGUUCAACGACCCCGAUGAACUCAUCGACGACGUCACCUAUGUAAAAGCGGCCGAAGUCAUCCGUAUGCUGCGCCUGGUCAUCGGCGCCGAUCAUUUCAGAGCGGGCAAACGACUCUAUUUUUCGCGCUACCGGCACGGCAACGCCACGACGGACCAGUUCUUCGCCUGCUUUGAAGAGGCGGCGGGCUGCUCCCUGGAACAGUUCAAAAGACAGUGGCUUUACACCAUCGGUUAUCCGAAGGUCACCGCCACAACUCAUUUCGACCCCACUGCAAGGAAAUUCCGUAUCGGCUUCCGGCAGGAAUUGGCGGGAGGGC